CAGUCGUACCUGCGGACAAUCAGCCUUUCGGGUGCGAUUCUGUGGGGCGUGAGGAGCUUAACCGCCUUCAUGUUUUGCAUAUUCGUGCACAUUUGGUGUACUUGUCCGUGUGGUGGGUUAACAUCAAUUUCGGCGUCAUAAAAUGAUUGGAGGAAUGUAGCUUUGGUCUCGUAUCGAAGUGUUAUAGACUCUGGUAGAUGUGACGAUUGGGAUUGAGGGUAUUGCAACGGAUACCCCUUCGGGGGCUACCCGUCUGAUCUCUGAAGGUUGCUCCGGUGCCGAAAGCGU
rnacentral:rRNA from 1 species